UAAGUGAAUAGUGAAAUCGUGCGGCUCAACCGUAUACACAUUAUUUAAACUGGCAGACUUGAGUAUGGUAGAGGUCACUGGAAUUCCAAGUGUAGGAGUGAAAUCCGUAGAUAUUUGGAGGAACACCGAUGGCGUAGGCAGGUGACUGGACCAUAACUGACACUGAGGCACGAAAGCGUGGGGAGCAAACGGGAUUAGAUACCCCGGUAGUCCACGCCCUAAACUAUGGAUGCUA
rnacentral:rRNA from 1 species